rfam:Triticum urartu cultivar G1812 contig1099329, whole genome shotgun sequence.
GUAGUACUCCCUCCGUCCCGAAAUACUUGGCGCAGAAAUGCAUAAAAAUGGAUGUAUCUAGAACUAAAAUACGUCUAGAUACAUCCAUUUCUCCUACAAGUAUUUUCGGAUGGAGGGAUUAUCUG